rnacentral:rRNA from 1 species
AUUGAACGCUGGCGGCAUGCUUUACACAUGCAAGUCGAACGGCAGCGCGGGCUUCGGCCUGGCGGCGAGUGGCGAAGGGGUGAGUAAGACAUCGGAACGUGCCCAGUUGCGGGGGAGAGGGCGGUGAAGGCCGGAAUAAUACCGCAAAAGACCUUAGGGUGAAAGCGGGGGAGCAUGGGACCUUGCGCCCUUGGGGGGGCCGAUGGCGGAUUAGCUAGUUGGUGGGGUAAAGGCCUACCAAGGCGACGAUCUGUAGCUGGUCUGAGAGGACGACCAGCCACACUGGAACUGAGACACGGCCCAGACUCCUACGGGAGGCAGCAGUGGGGAAUUUUGGACAAUGGGCGAAAGCCUGAUCCAGCAAUGCCGCGUGUGUGAUGAAGGCCUUCGGGUUGUAAAGCCCUUUUGGCGGGAACGAAAAGGACUGUGCCAAUACCACGGUUCGAUGACGGUACCCGCAGAAUAAGCACCGGCUAACUACGUG